CGCAAGCACAAACCCUCCUAAGAGAAUGACCCUCCCUCUGAUCCCAAUCUCGUUGUCCCUUCCCCUCCUAAGUUCAAGAGCCCUUUGUCCCCGAGACCACCCUCUUCCAACCCUCUGAAGCGCAAGCUCGCCAUCACCGCUGAUGCCCCAACCAACAAUUUACUCCCGGCGCCCUCCGAUUCCGGUGUCAAGGUUGGUUUCUCUUAUUAGGGUUUUCUACUUUCCAAUGCCUUCUAUCUAACUCCGAUUUCUCUCUUCUUGCCUUUGUUGCAGGUUAUUGUGAGGAUGAGG
rnacentral:lncRNA from 1 species